rnacentral:rRNA from 1 species
UACCAGCUCUCCGAGUUGUAGGGAUGAUUAUUGGGCUUAAAGCGUCCGUAGCUGGCUGGGCAAGUCCCCUGUUAAAUCCACCGAUUUAAUCGUUGGUGUGCGGGGGAUACUGUUCGGCUAGGGGACGGGAGAGGCCGACGGUAUUUUCGGGGUAGGGGUGAAAUCCUAUAAUCCCGGGAAGACCACCAGUGGCGAAGGCUGUCGGCUAGAACGCGCCCGACGGUGAGGGAUGAAAGCUGGGGGAGCGAACCGGAUUAGAUACCCGGGUAGUCCCAGCUGUAAACGAUGUAGGCUAGGUGUUUGGGCGGCCACGUGCCGCUCUAGUGCCGCAGAGAAGUCGUUAAGCCUGCCGCCUGGGGAGUACGGCCGCAAGGCUGAAACUUAAAGGAAUUGGCGGGGGAGCACCACAAGGGGUGAAGCUUGCGGUUU